GGCGCACGGGUGAGUAACACGUGGGUAAUCUGCCUUUUAGUGGGGAAUAACACAGGGAAACCUGUGCUAAUACCGGAUAAGUCCUAACGGAGAAAGUUUUAAUGCCAAAAGAUGAGCCCGCAUUUGAUUAGCUAGUUGGUAAGGUAAAAGCUUACCAAGGCGACAAUCAAUAGCUGAUUUGAGAGGAUGAUCAGCCACACUGGGACUGAGAUACGGCCCAGACUCC
rnacentral:rRNA from 1 species